rnacentral:misc_RNA from 1 species
GAUGAAGAACGUAGCGAAAUGCGAUAAGUAAUGUGAAUUGCAGAAUUCAGUGAAUCAUCGAAUCUUUGAACGCACAUUGCGCCCGCGAGUAUUCUCGCGGGCAUGCCUGUCCGAGCGUCAUUUCAACCCUCAGGGCCCGCCUGCUUGCAGGCGCGGCGCUGGUGUUGGGGAUCGGCUACCCUGCCGUCCCCCAAACACAGUGGCGGUCUCGCUGCAGCCUCCCCUGCGUAGUAGCAACACUCGCAUGCGGAGCGCGGCGCGGCCACGCCGUAAAACCCCCGACUUUCUGAACGUUGACCUCGGAUCAGGUAGGAAUACCCGCUGAACUUAAGCAUAUCAAUAAGCGGAGGA